AGUAACUUGCCAUUAAUUCUCUCUUACAUUCCAAUCCUAAAAAAUGCUUCCAUCUUUUAGCUGCAACAGUUUAUAAUCAUCAGAAAGGUCUAGUCAGAAUAAUAUUACCUUCUCCUUUUAAACAGUUUUUUUUUUUUAAAUCAUGCCACUACAACUGUAGCUGCGCUCAUGUUAACAAUUAAUUCCUAUAAUCGACAUCAAAAUUAUAUGAAAGAAUUAACACUUGGUUACCGAGUUACCAUAUUUGAAGAUAACGCGAAAGGUAAAAACACAAAAGGCAAGCAUGACCAAGCAAACAAGGUAUGGACAUUGAUUUUUUUGAAUCGGGAAUGACCAAAUGGGACCGUGAAGAGGUGACAAAGGAGAAAUCAGGCAUUCACGGUUUCCAUUGGAUGAAAUGAGAUAAGAUCACUGUGCUUCUUCCACGUGGCAGGUUGCCAAAGAUAAGGCUUUACCAUUCAAGAAAAGUUUCCACCCUCUUUGUGGUCAUUAUGGUUGUAAUGUCAUCUGAUUUAGGAUCCAACGGUCACCCUGUCUCCCAAACCAAUCUCUAAAUGUGGUGAGCUUAGACCAAAUUUUAUGACUAUAUAUAGGGGAUUGCACCAAGGCAGUGACACUAUUAAGGGAUCAGUGAGACUCUUUUGUAUACCUGUAGCAUAUAGUAAUAGUAAGCAGUAAUAGCAAUGGCCUCCUCCAUGAUCUCAUCGGCAACCAUUGCCACCGUGAACCGCUCCUCCCCGGCACAGGCCAACAUGGUGGCCCCCUUCACCGGCCUCAAAUCUGCCUCUGCUUUCCCAGUCACCAGGAAGGCCAACAACGACAUCACUUCUCUUGCAAGCAACGGUGGGAGAGUGCAAUGCAUGCAGGUACUUGGUGAUGCAUAAAUACCACUUAAAUUACCCCAAGUGUUUGAACACAACAAAUUACAUAAAUUGAAUCAAAUAUAUAUCUUGGCUUUUGAGUACAGGUGUGGCCGCCUCUUGGGAAGAAGAAGUUCGAGACUCUCUCAUACCUGCCCGAUCUUACUCCCGUACAGUUGGCUAAGGAAGUAGAUUACCUUCUUCGCUCUAAAUGGAUUCCUUGCUUGGAAUUCGAAUUAGAGGUGUUUUGGAGCUCUAAAUUAUUCCAUUCCUCCUCUUAAUUUUUUUAGUGGGAUAUUUGAGUUGAUUAAGUGUGUUUUAUAUGUAUGUGCAGGAGGGAUUCGUGCACCGUAAGUACUCGAGCUUACCCACGUACUACGAUGGACGCUACUGGACCAUGUGGAAACUGCCCAUGUUCGGGUGCACCGACUCGGCUCAGGUGUUGAAGGAGCUUGAGGAAUGCAAGAAGGAAUACCCCAAUGCAUUCAUUAGAAUCAUUGGGUUCGACAACGUUCGUCAAGUGCAGUGCAUUAGUUUCAUUGCCUACAAGCCUGAAGGCUACUAAGUUGUUUACUUCCCUCCUAGGAAUUCCAUUUGUUUCAAAGUUGUACUUAAAUUAAGCCCCUCAAGCCCCCCCCCCCUUUUUCUUUUUCUUUUUUAGUUGAGUUAUUUGGCUUGGGGUCUCUCUUUGUUUUGUUUUUGGAUUUCCAAUGGAACGGCUGAGAACUAAUGAAUAAAAAGGUAGUUUCUUGCCAUAUUUCAUGAAUCCAGUUCUUCCUCCAUUUUCAGUGCUAAGAUAUUCAUGUUAAGAUAGGAUAAAAAUUAAAAGAAAAAAAGGUGAUUGGGUGGUCUGGCUUUAAAAUAAGAGGAUAAAGAUUUUGUGGACAAGCAACGCUGUGCUGUUGGAGGCUCAUUAUCUUAGUACAUAGGAAUACACCAAAGAAACCAUUUUUAUUAAAUUGUUUUAUUAUGACAUCACAAGUUUCUAUUAUUAAAAUAACAACUUAAAAAGGCUAAAUUCAAAUA
rnacentral:lncRNA from 1 species